rnacentral:rRNA from 1 species
ACGCUGGCGGCGUGCUUUAACACAUGCAAGUCGAACGAAGAUGCCGGAGUGCCUGCACUUUGGCAGACUGAGUGGCGGACGGGUGAGUAACGCGUGGGUAACCUGCCUUAUACAGGGGGAUAACAGUUGGAAACGACUGCUAAUACCGCAUAAGCGCACGGUAUCGCAUGAUACAGUGUGAAAAACUCCGGUGGUAUAAGAUGGACCCGCGUCUGAUUAGCUUGUUGGUGAGGUAACGGCCCACCAAGGCGACGAUCAGUAGCCGGCCUGAGAGGGUGAACGGCCACAUUGGGACUGAGACACGGCCCAAACUCCUACGGGAGGCAGCAGUGGGGAAUAUUGCACAAUGGGGGAAACCCUGAUGCAGCGACGCCGCGUGAGUGAUGAAGUAUUUCGGUAUGUAAAACUCUAUCAGCAGGGAAGAUAAUGACGGUACCUGACUAAGAAGCACCGGCUAAAUACGUG